GACGAACGCUGGCGGCGUGCUUAACACAUGCAAGUCGAACGGUGAAGCGCCUUCCUUUUUGGUGGGUGUGGAUGAGUGGCGAACGGGUGAGUAACACGUGAGUAACCUGCCCCCUUCUUCUGGAUAACCGCAUGAAAGUGUGGCUAAUACGGGAUAUUCUGGGUCUGUCGCAUGAUGGGUCUGGGAAAGAUAUUGUUUCGGUGGGGGAUGGGCUCGCGGCCUAUCAGCGUGUUGGUGGGGUGAUGGCCUACCAAGGCGGUGACGGGUAGCCGGCCUGAGAGGGUGGACGGUCGCACUGGGACUGGGCCACGGCCCAGACUCCUACGGGAGGCAGCAGUGGGGAAUAUUGCACAAUGGGCGCAAGCCUGAUGCAGCGACGCCGCGUGAGGGAUGGAGGCCUUCGGGUUGUGAACCUCUUUCGCCAGUGAAGCAGGCCUGCCUCGUUUGUGGGUGGGUUGACGGUAGCUGGAUAAGAAGCGCCGGCUAACUACGUG
rnacentral:rRNA from 1 species